CCGAGACGCUCGGGCUGCUGAGCUCCGGGGACCCUGCUCCGGGGUGUCCCGCCACCGCCACCGCCGGCGCUCCCGGCACUGAGAGUCCGACUGCGACCGUCGAAGAGGUGAGCGCAAGGCAUGUGCCAGGAACGCGGAUCCCAGCGGGAAGCGCCACGGCGGAAAUUCGGGGCGGCAUCUGGCCGCUGGGGGACGAAUGGGACUCUGCGGGCCAGCAGGUCGUCGGCAGGAUGGCACCUCCCGGAGCCAGAGUAACCUCCCAGAGGCUGCGCUCCUUGGGGUAACGGUGGCACUGUCUAGUGACUGGGCCCUGUGCUGCUCAGAGCUCCAAGAAGACGCUAGCUAGCCUUUGACUGCGACCCAGACGGGUACUGACAGAAAGACUGCAGGUGCUCCGUAUUCCACCUGGAAACCCCCAAACUCGGCCACCUCCCUCGAUACUUGGCAGAAUCUGCUCCAGGCGGGAAUCAAGGCAAGACCUGGAUCAUACAGCGCGCGGCAGGUGCUAUGCAGUGUUCUUCGAUCCAGCGGAAGGCGGGGGGUCUGCUCCUGGACCUCUGUCCCGGGGCCCUGAAGGACACAGCUGUGCGCAGCCGGGCUCCGAGGUUUUGCACAUGUUUUCUAUUGAAAGUCGUAGCGCGCUGCUCAGUGUGGCCUCGGCCCUGUGCGGCUUCACUCGCCUCUGGGGCAAAGGGGCAUUUUCUUGAUUGACGCCCCCCUGCGGUGACCACACCUUGAGUUGGGCAAUUUCUGCUAAGGUUUUCUAUUAAUAGAAAAACUCCCUGACUUUUUUCUAUUGAGAUUUUAAAUUUCACCGUUUAGAAUUACCUCUUCAGCUGAUCCAAGCUAAAGAGGAGAAAACUGGGUAGCCGGAGGACCUGGGUUCGAGUUUCACUGCACACAUUUUUCUUGAGCUACUACUGUGUGUAAUUAGCAAACGAGAGAGGUAGCCCCUGUCCUCAUGGAAGCAGGAAGCAAAUUGAACCCAGUAACAUGUUUGCUAGGGAGAAAUCGUGCCUAAUGGUCAGAAACUUUAGGGGACAGCCCCUAGUUUGGUGAAAAGGAGAGAGUCAAUUUGAGAAAGGGAAGGGAAAGUCUUCCCAAAGGAAAUGAUGUUUGAAAGAUAAGUAGGUGUCAACAAGCCUAGGGUGUGAGUGAGUCCAAGUCAGAACAGCAUGUGAAUAGGUUACCUAACACAGCCUCCGUCAGUUUAUUGCUACAGGCUUUUCUCGUCUGAAACGUUUGGAACUUGCCAUAAAGCUUCCUGACUGCUUGGGGAUGGAAUCACUGACAGCUUUCAGAAUAAUGACAGACACAAGCUACAGCACAGACAAACCAGUGACUCUAUACCUACCCUUCUUAUCACCUGGCCUGAUGGAGACUUCGUGUUUUAGAUUCCAGAAAGACACAGACUCUGAGGACCAAGUAAGGACAGCUGCAGCCUCAGACCCUGGAAAGUGGGUGGAGACCUUAGAGGCGUUGAUUCUGACAUUCCAACCCAGCUACAUAAUCCUCACCAGCAAACCGAAGCACUUAACUCUGCUAAACCAUAUAACACGGCCUUUUCAAAACCCAAUAGAUCCAUAUCCAUUUUGCUGUAGUUAAAAAAAAAUCACAACCACAUUUGUGAAUGGCACACACAGUUCUUGAACUACAUAAUUUUAAUAUCACUUGUGUAGGGUUUAUAGUUUGUUUUAUUGUUUUAAAAGUCAUUUGGGGCUCUAAAAGAACUCAAUUUUUCCAAAGUUGUCCUUAUGAUUUUUUUUCACACAGUCAGAACUAAUAAAACAAAACUGCUGUAGCUAUUUAAUUCAAAAUCUCUUGGAGUUUCAAUAUUUUCUCUCUGCUGGAUACUAAAACCAAUAAGGCUACAUGAGAUUUUAAUUAUAUGCUGAAUUAAACAAGACUUGCCAAAAAUUUGGUGCCAUUUAUUUUAGUCAUUGUAUUGUGUAAGAGAACAAAUUUUGCAAAAGGAAAAAAUAAUUCUAGUCUCUCAUUUAUCAAAUGAGCGCUUAGGUAAACUUCUGCAAUUUGCUUUCAUUAAUUGCGUAUAUUUAGAGUUAAAAUUUCCAAUUAGCUGUGCUGGCACCAAUUAGUAGAUUUUGCUGUCACGACUUGGUUCUGUCUGCAUUUGCACUGAAAAUUAUGUUACCUUCAAUUGUUGGGAUGAAUAAUUUAUUAAACCA
ensembl:lncRNA